rnacentral:lncRNA from 1 species
GGAUCAGGAGUGCUGCCUGGAUUGUGCUGACUACUUCUUGAACACCCUCUCACCCAGCCUUGCUGCAGCCUUACCUGCAAACCCACCUGUGGUGGAAUGGGAGGGGCUGUUCUUAUCCUCAUCUGAUAGAUGAGAAGACUGUGACUCAGAGAGGUGAAUGACUUGGCCAAAGUCUAGCAACCAACGUUUUUCAGAGUGCUGUCCUGCUCUGAUGCUGACACUCUUAGUCUCUCACCCCCUAGAUUUCCCAAGCAGGAGGGCCACUCAAUUUCUGCAUCAACCAAAUGCAAGGAACACACUUGAAGGCUCUCCAAGUGGUCCUGCUGAAGUCCCCAUCACUUCUCAUGUGGAAACCAGAGCUCAGAAAGAAGAAAUGAUUUUGUACCAUCUCCCAAGGAGUCAAUGGUGAAGAUAGAAUUAAAAC